GACGAACGCUGGCGGCGUGCUUAACACAUGCAAGUCGAACGGAAAGGCCCUGCUGGGAGGGUACUAGAGUGGAGAAGGGGUGAGUAACACGUGGGUGAUCUGCCUUGCACUUCGGGAUAAGCCGGGGAAACUGGGUAUAAUACCGGAUAGGAGCCAUUUGUAGUGUGAGGGUUGGAAAGUUUUUUCGGUGUAGGAUGAGGUCGCGGCCUAUCAGGUUGUUGGUGGGGUAAUGGGCUACCAAGGGGGCGACGGGUAGCCGGCCUGAGCGGGUGGACGGCCACAUUGACACUGAGAUACAUCCCAGACUCCUACGCGGUGCAGAAGUGGGGAAUAUUGCCCAAUGCCCGCACGCCUGAUGCAGCGACGCCGCUUGCGGGAUGACGGCCUUCGACUUGUAAACGCCUUGCGCUAGGGACCAGGCUUUUUGUGACGGUACCUAGAUAAGAAGCACCGGCUAACUACGUG
rnacentral:rRNA from 1 species